UACGAAGGGGGCUAGCGUUGUUCGGAAUUACUGGGCGUAAAGCGCGCGCAGGUGGUUUUCCAAGUCAGUGGUGAAAGCCCGGAGCUCACCUCCGGAACUGCCAUUGAAACUGUGAAACUCGAGGACGAGAGAGGUGAGUGGAAUUCCCAGUGUAGAGGUGAAAGUCGUAGAUAUUGGGAAGAACACCGGUGGCGAAGGCGGCUCACGGGCUCGUAUCUGACACUCAAGCGCGACAGCGUGGGGAUAAAACAGG
rnacentral:rRNA from 1 species